rnacentral:rRNA from 1 species
AUGCACGCUGGCGGCGUGCCUAAUACAUGCAAGUCGAGCCAACAGACGAGGAGCUUGCUCCUCUGACGUUAGCGGCGGACGGGUGAGUAACACGUGGAUAACCUACCUAUAAGACUGGGAUAACUUCGGGAAACCGGAGCUAAUACCGGAUAAUAUAUUGAACCGCAUGGUUCAAUAGUGAAAGACGGUUUUGCUGUCACUUAUAGAUGGAUCCGCGCCGCAUUAGCUAGUUGGUAAGGUAACGGCUUACCAAGGCAACGAUGCGUAGCCGACCUGAGAGGGUGAUCGGCCACACUGGAACUGAGACACGGUCCAGACUCCUACGGGAGGCAGCAGUAGGGAAUCUUCCGCAAUGGGCGAAAGCUUGACGGAGCAACGCCGCGUGAGUGAUGAAGGUCUUCGGAUCGUAAAACUCUGUUAUUAGGGAAGAACAAAUGUGUAAGUAACUAUGCACGUCUUGACGGUACCUAAUCAGAAAGCCACGGCUAACUACGUG